CGAUAGACGACAAAGAAUAACGAUAGUUAUCGAACUCUAUACAGGGAAUAGAUAGAUCCGGUAUUUAGAAGAAUUUGUUCAAGUGUCUGAUACGGUCCGCUUUCAUCUGAGGAUGGAUCGCCAAGCCACACGCAUCUCAUCAAAUAAGUUCGUUCAGUACAGGUCUCGCAGUGGACACGGCAGCACCAGUGGAACUUGCACCUACAUUGCCACGUCCUCGUGAAUUGAUGUGUGUUGUAGCCGCGGCCGCAGCACAUCAAGUCGCAUCCGUCAGUUCCUGAAAACAUAGAUAUACCUCUUUACCUGCACAAUAACAAGCUGAUGGAUACAAAAUUGUCUAGAAGAGCUUCAACGCGCGAGCUAAAUUGUGAUAGAAGUAAGCACGAGUGACGCUAACUAAAGCAGAUUGCCUCGUCAUUAAAAAAUUUGACUGAAUAUCGAAGUAAAGAAAAUGAAGAGUUUGCUGCAUCUAUUUGAAAGGAACGUUCGUCAUCAUUCUGUCAUCACUAUCAUCACUGGCCAUUCGCCCUGUCAUCAUCAUCGUCGUCGUCGGCUAUUUGUUCUGCCAUCAUUAUUAUUAUCGUUGCCAGUCAUCUAUCCUGCUAUCAUCAUGGUCACCGAUCAUCCACAGCGUCCACCGUCAUCGUCAGUCAUUCAUCAUG